CUUUGAGACCGGCGCACGGGUGCGUAACGCGUAUGCAAUCUGCCUUUCACAGAGGGAUAGCCCAGAGAAAUUUGGAUUAAUACCUCAUAGCAUAAUCAAGCCGCAUGGUUUGAUUAUUAAAGUCACAACGGUGAAAGAUGAGCAUGCGUCCCAUUAGCUAGUUGGUAAGGUAACGGCUUACCAAGGCGACGAUGGGUAGGGGUCCUGAGAGGGAGAUCCCCCACACUGGUACUGAGACACGGACCAGACUCCUACGGGAGGCAGCAGUGAGGAAUAUUGGUCAAUGGACGCAAGUCUGAACCAGCCAUGCCGCGUGCAGGAUGACGGUCCUAUGGAUUGUAAACUGCUUUUGCACAGGAAGAAACACUCCGACGUGUCGGAGCUUGACGGUACUGUGAGAAUAAGGAUCGGCUAACUCCGUGCCAGCAGCCGCGGUAAUACGGAGGAUCCAAGCGUUAUCCGGAAUCAUUGGGUUUAAAGGGUCCGUAGGCGGUCUUGUAAGUCAGUGGUGAAAGCCCAUCGCUCAACGGUGGAACGGCCAUUGAUACUGCAGGACUUGAAUUAUUGGGAAGUAACUAGAAUAUGUAGUGUAGCGGUGAAAUGCUUAGAGAUUACAUGGAAUACCAAUUGCGAAGGCAGGUUACUACCAAUUUAUUGACGCUGAUGGACGAAAGCGUGGGUAGCGAACAGGAUUAGAUACCCUGGUAGUCCACGCCGUAAACGAUGGAUACUAGCUGUUGGGAGCAAUCUCAGUGGCUAAGCGAAAGUGAUAAGUAUCCCACCUGGGGAGUACGAACGCAAGUUUG
rnacentral:rRNA from 1 species